rnacentral:rRNA from 1 species
UACAGAGGGUGCGAGCGUUGUUCGGAAUUAUUGGGCGUAAAGGGCGCGUAGGCGGUGCGGUAAGUCACCUGUGAAAUCUCCUGGCUCAACUGGGAGCUUGCAGGCGAAACUGCCGUGCUGGAGUGUGGGAGAGGUGAGUGGAAUUCCGGUGUAGAGGUGAAAUUCGUAGAUAUCGGGAGGAACACCGGUGGCGAAGGCGGCGAUCUGGGUCGAUACUGACGCUGAGGUGCGAAAGCGUGGGGAG